GCUUCACAGCUAGCAUCUUCGAGGGUCGUGUGUGUUGUGGCCUCUGUGAGGACCCCUUCCUUCCCAAGCCUGAGCCGUGCGCGGACUGCAUUUUGUUUAUCCCCUUAUCCCUCGCGGGCACUUGGGUGGCUUCCGGCUCUGCGGCUGCUGUGAAGAGUGAGUCUAAGGAUCAGGGUGCCAUGCCAGGAGCUGCCCUGUGACCUGCGUUCACUGUGGACCCCUACCCCUGCUCAGGAGUUCCUGUUCCCAGCCCUGGGGUUUCUCUCAAAGAAAGCGAUGCCAAUCUGUUUCCUUUCUGGAAUGCCCAGGUGUCUUCCAGAAUGAUGCAACACAGAGCAGAGAAGAAAUGAUUGUGGGCUGGCAAAUUGUGAGGGCUCGGCUGGGACCACAGCACCGGGCAGUCAGCCGAGACCCUCUGUUGCCCAGCAACCUCACACUCCGAGUUGCCCCCCAUGGCCAGGACCCGCCUUUGGCCCAAGUCCAUCUGGUGCUCAGUCGCCUCACCCUUGAGAACCACUUUCAUCACAAGGACCAGGAGAGAGGGCUGGAAUGGGCUUCACCAAGGUCAAAUGCUGCCCAUGUCUGGAUCUGGAGCCUUUGGAGGACAGUGGAGGCUGGUCUGUAGGUGCAGGCGGAGCCCACACAGCUCGGAUGCUCUCCCGCCACCGGACAUGGUACCAUCGCGCUCCAGGGACGAACACAAAACCUCUGUCAUCCCGCGUCCCCUCAGCUCAUUACCAUAAACUCUAUUAAAUCCUGGCAGCACAA